AUCCCGUUGCACCCAGCUUCAAUAACAACAAGAUUAUGCAUCUGAAUGGAACUGUGAAUUCAACAAAGCAAUUGGGUUUGUCUGAAAGCUCUUCGCCUGUACCAAUUUGCUGUAUACGGAUGAUAAAGUGUGGAGGAGGUGGUGGCGGUGAGUCGAAUUGGCGGCGACUAUAAUCCCAUGCACUGAAGUUGGCCGCGAAUGAGGAAUGCAUAGCUAGGGUUUCGACAGUUAUGUCUCCUGUGUGUGUAUGCAAUUUAUGGUUUAUCGUUCGUGUUUGUGUUUGCAAUUCAUUGUUUGUCUUGUAUAAAUUGUUGUCAUAGGUUGUAUAAUUCAAUUGAUUUGUGUGUAAUUUGCUUUUGAUUGUUUUUGAAACUGUGGUUUUAAUUCAAUUUAUACCGGCUGUGUAAUUGUUGCUGGUGAUUCAUUAUCUUGUUUCAACUGUAUGACAAUUUCGAGUCUGAUUUGACUGGUGUUUUUAUCGAAUUCAUACCGGCUGUUUGAUAUUGUGUUAAAUAUUUUUUAUUUUGGCUUGUAUAAUCGUGGACCCAUUGUUGUUUAAAAUAAAGUUCUGAUUGAAUUCAUAAUGGCGGGUUAAUUUUUCUGGUAGUGUGUGAUUUGUUUGUGCAAUUCAUAGUUUAGAAUGCGCAAUUUAUAGAUAUAUCAUAUGAUGCAAAGGGAUUUCACGGGUGAUUAUGGGGCAGUAAGCCUUGGGUUAAUUGGGAUUAAAAUUGCCAUAGUCCAAAUUAAUGUUUUUGUACUAUAAUUGAUAUUUAGUAGCAGGACUUGGGAUUGAAGUACGAAUGAUCAUUGAUAUGAGAUUUUAGGAAUUUUUUGAAUGAGAAUAGAUUCAUUGGAUAGUAAAAAAACGUAACUGGAAAAGGUGCAGAACUGCAAAUAUUUCUGAGGUAUAUCCAUUGACUAUUUUGUUAGAGCAUAUUUAUCUCUUUAUACAUUGGUCAUGUGUGUAAUCAACCUAUAUGUAUAAACCUGCCUAUUCUCAGGAGGGUAUAACAGGUCACAUGAAGAAGAAUUAUCCAGAGAUAUUCAAGGAUGACUCUGUAAGUGUUGGUGGGGAGGUGAAGAGGAAAGGUGAAGUGUUGGUGCAACAUUUGAAGGCGCGAUGUAGGCCGGCAAAUACAAGCUGUCGGAUAGAGUCUUUUGGGAGAAUAUUCAAAAAGUUUGAUGAGCAACGUAGGCGCUUGGUAGGUGAAAUGGGGUUUGGUGAGCUAUUAAAAAUUGGUGGUUAUAUGAAUCUUCCUAGACAGUUGGCGUACUGGUUGAUGACUCGAAUUGAUCCUUUUAACUGUACAUUAACUAGCCUAGAUGGGAAAGUAUUUAAGUUGUCUCAAAAUUAGGUUCAUUGGGAGUUAGGUAUCCCUAAUGGGAGUUUACCUGUUCCGACAUACAAGUCGUUGGAUAUUGAUAUGUCUGAAAAAUUCAAAAUGAUUUUGAAGACAUAUGGUAAAUCUUGGAAUAACAAGUCAAUAAAAACUGGUCGGGAGUACAUAUAUGAGGGUAUUCUAGUGAAUAGUGACCUGAUUGGUAGGCUGGAGGGGAAAUGGGAGGAAGAUCAAGCGAAAGAGUUCAAGACAAUUUUUUUGUUGUUGUCACUUGAGAUGUUGCUAUGCCCUAAUCAGGCGUCGAGGUUGGCCGCAGAUUUGGUGCCCGCUUUAACGUGUGCUUCAAGAGCUGCUGAUUAUGAUUGGUGUUCCCUUGUGCUAAAGAAGCUCAUGGAAAGUGUAGCGAUGUUCGCAGGCGGUUUUACGCAUCAGGCGUAGCCAGUGGUUGCGUUGGUUGCCUCAUUUUUAUUGUGGUUAUGUAUUUAGAUCGGCUUAAUAGACAUCCGGUACGCUGGGGCUACUUCCCAAGGAUGGAGGUUUGGAACAUGGAAGAGAUACGAUUGGCUAUUAGAGAAGAUCGUCUUCCAAAUGGUUGUGAUUUUGGACAGCUUGGGACUCUUGAUGUGGCUUAUGGUGAAAUGCAUCCUACGGAGGCAAGGGAUACUAAUGGGCCUGAUGGCACAUCCAAGGUUGAGAGAUUGGGCAGCGGUAGUGUUUGUUAUAGGGCUAAGGUUGCAUGAAAACAGAUACCCAUAUGUAAGCGUAAGAGGUUGGAACCUGAAUCUGUUAUCUACAAUGGCGUAUCAACCCGCACUGAUAUCAACAGCAAUGUCAUCAUAACUAAAGAUGUGAAGUGCACGAUAGAUUUGAAUACAUGAAACUUUACCAAGUUAUUUUUCAAUUUGUUGUGAGAUUGGGCUGAAUGUAACAUUUCAUAUUAUGUGACUUGUGAGGUGUAAAUAUUAAGCUUUUUAAAAGACUAAUGUAAAUGGGCUUUACAAGCCCAAAUAAAUUGCAUAUGUUUAAUGGGAUA